rnacentral:tRNA from 1 species
UCCCUGGUGGUCCAGUGGUUAAGACGCUGCCCUCCCAGUGCAGGGUGCAUGGGUUUGAUCCCUGGUCAGGGAA